rnacentral:rRNA from 1 species
GACGAACGCUGGCGGCGUGCUUAACACAUGCAAGUCGAGCGAUGAAACACCUUCGGGGUUCACGAGUGGCGAACGGGUGAGUAACACGUGGGUGAUCUGCCCUGCACUUCGGGAUAAGCCUGGGAAACUGGGUCUAAUACCGGAUAGGACCCUGGGAUGCAUGUCCUGGGGUGGAAAGCUUUUGCGGUGUGGGAUGGGCCCGCGGCCUAUCAGCUUGUUGGUGGGGUGAUGGCCUACCAAGGCGACGACGGGUAGCCGGCCUGAGAGGGUGACCGGCCACACUGGGACGAAGAUACGGCCCAGACUCCUACGGGGGGCAGCAGUGGGGAAUAUUGCCCAAUGGGCGCAAGCCUGAUGCAGCGAGGCCGCGUAAGGGAUGACGGCCUUCGGGUUGUAAACCUCUUUCAGCACCGACGAAGCGCAAGUGACGGUAGGUGCAGAAGAAGGACCGGCCUACUACGUGCCAGCCGCCGCCGUAA